rnacentral:rRNA from 1 species
GACGAACGCUGGCGGCGCGCUUAACACAUGCAAGUCGAGCGAAGCGGCGGACGGGCGAGUAACACGUGAGUAACCUGCCUUAGACAUUGGGACAGCCUCGGCAAACCGGGUGUAAUACAAAAUGGUCUAAGAUGGACUCGCGUCCCAUUAGUAGGUUGGCGAGGUAACGGCCCUCCAAGGAGACGAUGGGUAGCCGGGCUUGGAGGGUGAGCGGCCACAUUGGAACUGGGAAGCGGUCCAAACUCUGGAGGAGGCAGGAGUGGGGAAUCUUGCAAAAUGGAGGGAGCGAUGAUGCAGCGAGGCCGCGUGAACGAAGAAGGCUGUCGAGUCGUAAAGUUCUUUUAUAUGGGAAGCGGUACCAUAAGAAAAAGCCCCGGCUAACUACGUGCCAGCCGCCGCGGUAAUUC